rnacentral:rRNA from 1 species
GACGAACGCUGGCGGCGUGCUUAACACAUGCAAGUCGAACGAAGAGCGACGGAAGCUUGCUUCUAUCAAUCUUAGUGGCGAACGGGUGAGUAACGCGUAAUCAACCUGCCCUUCAGAGGGGGACAACAGUUGGAAACGACUGCUAAUACCGCAUACGAUCUAAUCUCGGCAUCGAGGAUGGAUGAAAGGUGGCCUCUACAUGUAAGCUAUCACUGAAGGAGGGGAUUGCGUCUGAUUAGCUAGUUGGAGGGGUAACGGCCCACCAAGGCGAUGAUCAGUAGCCGGUCUGAGAGGAUGAACGGCCACAUUGGGACUGAGACACGGCCCAGACUCCUACGGGAGGCAGCAGUGGGGAAUCUUCCGCAACGGACGAAAGUCUGACGGAGCAACGCCGCGUGAGUGAUGACGGCCUUCGGGUUGUAAAGCUCUGUUAAUCGGGACGAAAGGCCUUCUUGCGAAUAGUGAGAAGGAUUGACGGUACCGGAAUAGAAAGCCACGGCUAACUACGUG